AGAACAAAAAAAAAACAUAUCUUAUUGCAAAGCUCUUAUUUCUCCAUUUCCCUUUGGAUACAAAGAAUUCUCAUAAAUGUAUUACCAGCAAUUCAGGAAAAGGAGGCAAAUUGACUGGAACAUGCCUAUUAGCUACUAACCUAGAUGUGGAGAGAGAAGAAGUGAUCAUUGAUUCAGUCUUUCCCUUCCAUCCCCACCCAUAUGAUAUCCAGUUC